AGAAACUAGGUAUCAAAGUCAAGCAAAUAAUGAAAUAAAAUGCUUGAAUAUGAAGCAUACACCACAGAUUUGGAUUAAUAUAAAGUUGACAUGCGUUGAUGAGUGAGUUCACAACAACCACAGUAAUGGCCUCUAAGACUAAGAGAAACACCCUUCUGCUUCUCUUUAUCUGUUUGUUGUUCAGUUUUUCUUCUAAAGCAAUUGCAACAAGAAAACUUGCUGCUAAUUAUGCAGGUUCGAACGAUGAAAGAGGUGUGAGUAGGAGAGGUCUUGGGAGUGCUCCAUGUACGAGGGGAAGAGAAACUUUUGAAAAGAGACCAUAUGAUAAUCCACGUUGCCACAAUUAUCUGUGAUUUAUUUUGCAAUAUGUGUUGCAAAUAAAAACAGAUACAUCACAUGUAACUGUGAUUUCUGCUACAUGCUUUAAUUUGUAGUUACUCAUAUUGUUUUACCGUAAAAUUUGUAUAUAAGUAUGUGUGGUCAGAUUGGUGGAAUGGCUUAAAAUGAAGUUGUAAUGUGAACAAUCGGUUAAAGUUUUAACAGUGAAUCUAUUUAUUUGGUAGUUUUAGAAUUUAGUUUUUAUUUACUUUGCUUACGGGAAGUGUGUAUUUCAUUGCUGUUGAGGUCAAAUAAUAAGAUAUAGAACCUCUCCUAAAA